GAUGAACGCUGGCGGCGUGCCUAAUACAUGCAAGUCGAGCGAACGGACGAGAAGCUUGCUUCUCUGAUGUUAGCGGCGGACGGGUGAGUAACACGUGGAUAACCUACCUAUAAGACUGGGAUAACUUCGGGAAACCGGAGCUAAUACCGGAUAAUAUUUUGAACCGCAUGGUUCAAAAGUGAAAGACGGUCUUGCUGUCACUUAUAGAUGGAUCCGCGCUGCAUUAGCUAGUUGGUAAGGUAACGGCUUACCAAGGCAACGAUGCAUAGCCGACCUGAGAGGGUGAUCGGCCACACGGGAGCUGAGACACGGUCCAGACUCCUACGGGAGGCAGCAGUAGGGAAUCUUCCGCAAUGGGCGAAAGCCUGACGGAGCAACGCCGCGUGAGUGAUGAAGGUCUUCGGAUCGUAAAACUCUGUUAUUAGGGAAGAACAUAUGUGUAAGUAACUGUGCACAUCUUGACGGUACCUAAUCAGAAAGCCACGGCUAACUACGUG
rnacentral:rRNA from 1 species